AACGACCACCUCUUAACGAAGGGGCAAGAAUCUGGUCGUUAUAAGUAUAUCUAUAGCGGCCAAUUUUUUUCCGGUCGUUAAACCCAAUGUUUAGCUCCAUAUUAACGUGGGGAUAAUGUUCCAUCGUUAGAAGGCAUAGUAACCAGUCAUUAAUACUUUUAAUCAACAAAAAUACGCGCUUCUUUUUCCCUCUUUUUCUUUUCCCCCGACCCACCCCCUCCCACUCCAAAAUAAAACAUUAACCGUCGGUCAAAACACACACAUUUUUGAUUACUUCCGAAGAGUAAUAGAAUGAGGUCUGCUUGUCACCAACCCAUUGCAUAAGUGUGUGGGAGAAGAAAAGAUGGUUCAUUUGUGUCGGCAUCAAUCUUAGAGUUUCUUCUCAAGGUGAGAUUCAAAAUAUACCCUUUUCAUAUGUUAAUUUUUGUUCAAAUUAAUAGGGUUAUGAUCACACUUGUAGAGAUAUGGAUAAUGGUGUUUCUUUGGUGAUGUUGGUGUUCAACAAUUUGCGGCAUUAUCGAUUUCAAUUAUCCUAAUUUAGGUUUUCGUAAUUUGGGCUUAGGAAACAAGAAUUGUGGCAUGGUCGAUUCAAUGUGCAAUCCUCAUAUCAUCAUCUCUAUCUUACUGCUUUUUAGUUGUGUUAUACUCUUGAUUUCUACUUCUUCACGGAGGAGUGACUUUUGGUUUCAUGCUAAGUUUUAAAAAAUCAAAGUUUUUCUCCAAUUGGGUUUGCAAAAAUUUAGUGCCUUAUAGAGGAAUAAAGCACAUUUUCCUGAUAAUUCGACAGUGGUUCUGAUGUUGGAAGCUUAACUAGUUGGGUGCUGCUCCCUCUAUCCCAUAUUAGUUGUCCUGUUUCGCUUUUCGAGAGUCAAGUUGACUAAUCUUCGGAGCUAAAUUGGAUUAGAUCAAUUCAAUAUUUUAAAAUUAUAGUUUAGAUAUUCAAAAACUACACGAAAAGUACUACUAUAAGUUACAAUUGUUCUCAUAUUAAUAUGGUGAAAUAAUAUAUCUCAAAAUGUUGAUCAAAGUUUAUAUAGUUUGACUUUUAAAAAAGGAAGUGGACAAGUAUUAUGGGACGGAGGAAGUAUCAUAUAAAAUUAUAUCUAUUGCAUUUUAGGUAUCCUCGAUUUCGGAGUUUUAGCUUCACUGAAUUAUUAUGUUUCCUGUUUACAACUUGUUGAAACACAUCAUGAGAUGGUUUGUCAUGCUUUAAUUUAUUUUGCACAAUCUCUUUUCGAGAGUUUUUCAGUUCUUAUGAAAAAGGUGACAUCUUAUAGGUUCUUUCUUCUCCCUAAUGUGAUCAUUCCUUGAUAUUUUUGUUGUUUGUGUGAAGGCUAAAUUUAAAUGGAUAGUUCUAUUCUAUGUAAUAGUGGGGCUAAAUAUAAAAUGUGCAUUUUGUUUUUACUCUAUGAGCUAUUUACAUUACCCAACAAGGAAAGCAAUCAGGCAAAUUAUUAGUAGCGUAGGAAAUGGGACAUUUUAAGACUUCUUUAUCUUGAAUUUAUCUUGCUUUGUCUACUAUUGAAGUGAGUGACUCAAUUUUUUGGUCUGUGUCCCUGCAUUGCUGGACUAUUGUUUCUUGAAUCUUGCCUCAAACUUGGAUAUUCUUAAUUAUACCGAAGAUCACCAUCGGUGUUAUUAAGCGAGGAGAAGCGACCAUCUAGCUCUUCAAUGAAGCGAGCGUAUUGCUUCUUGCUUCACACUUUAAGAGAAGUGGGACCUUGUCGCUUUUUCUUGAUUCGCAUUUUCGAAAACACUGAUCAUAUAAAGUAUGUUUUUUGUUCGACUGUCAAGGCCUUGAAGAAUAUCUUGAUUAUUGGGGAUGACGCUCGUCUUAUAAAGAACAUCUUCAAUAAGGCAUGCUAUGUAUCAUUAUUCUUCUGGCUUUCAAUUCACCUGUGCUAUUGGGAUGAAGGGCACAACAAAAAGGAAGGGGGAAGCAACAAAAGUAAGCAAAUGACAGCGUCUCUGGGUACUUGAUUACAGCUUGGUGAUACUCAUUCCAUGCCAGGACAGUUGGAUCGGUCGACGAGUGAAAAUACACUAGGAAGCUUUAUGAGAUGCAGAUCUGAGAGUCGCAGAGACUUGCAGUAUGAAGAAUUUGAAAUUGGAAGAGCAUGUCCUCGGAAGAAAGUACAGAGCAAUUUGAAGCACAAAAAAUGUCAAGAAUAAGUUGAAGCCCAGGAGAAAGCUACUGUUUACGGGUUUAUUUAAGAUGUUCCUAUUUAGACAUGUUUUAAUUCUAUUUUCUCUUUUUGUAGGAGUUAACAAAUACAAUGUCAUAUGAUUUGAAGGGAUAUACUUUUAUAAUGUUAGACGUUAAUUCUUUGUAUUGACUUGAAUUUUGAUAUGAAUACAAGAAAAUUGUACAUAAUUAUCUAA